AAAAAAUGAACCACAUGAAACGUGAAGACAAGUCUUGAUUGAGUCUUGAGAGUGAAUGUCAUAGUGUCAGUCCAGCAGUUCCCCUGUGUUUGUUUGCUUUGCCUGUGUUUCCCCUGUCUCUGCAAGGAGCUGUGGUCUCCUCCUGUUUAUUCCCGAAGGACGUGGCUGGAACAGCUGACUGCAAUCAGCCAUCAGGGGACUCUCCUACAUCAACCCGGGUCUUCCUGCCAUUCAGCGCCAGAUCGUUCUGUCGUCAGAGUGACAACUAUGUAUUCAUGCCACCUACUAGUAGACGCUGUCUUUGUUCACUUUGUUCGUUUUUUUGCCACGUUGAUGCCUUUGUGCUAAAAUGGGUCCUCUUUUAACAUUCAACCUGACUCUUAUUAAUUUUGAUUAACUAUACAGUGGAGUUAUAUUCAGAGUGUUGGUUUCUUCUUGGUCAUUGAAGCUCAGUUAAACACAAGCAGGCAGUGAAUGUGUCUCUGCUCAAGCAGUGCAUCAAUCUAACUUUGCCUUUGUUUCUGUUUUUGGGCUACAGAGAGGAUCAUCCCAAUCCGCAGUGAACACCUGAGGAUACAAGUCUUCAAGCAGAAGUUGAUGUCUAAUAGCUGAACUUUCUGUCAAAGGCUGUCUUUGGAAGGAGAAGCCAUCGUUCCUGGACUACGUUCUCAGUACACACAGUAGCUAAUGGAUGC
ensembl:lncRNA